CAAGUGUUAUCAAAGGCUGUAUACCAUUUCCAAAUGUCACUUUUGCCAAAUUCUGGACCAGGGUAUGUAAGAACAGAGUUGAGACAUUAUAUUGGCCAAGGUUGCUGGGAGUUGCUGUCCAAGAGCUGCUAGAAGGCAGAGAUUAAAAUAUGUAAAUGUACACUUAUAUGUGUGUGUGUAUCUGGCUGUGUUUAUGUCCUUGUGUGUAUCUGGCUGUGUUUGUGUCAGUGUGUGUAUCUGGCUGUGUUUGUGUCAGUGUUUGUAUCUGACUGUGUUUGUCUGUGUGUCAGUGUUUCUGUGUGUAUGUAUACCUGUGUAUGUGUACUUGUGUGUCAGUGUGUAUGCGUACCUGUGUGUGUGUUUGUGUGUGUGUGUGUGUGUAUGUAUGUGUCAGUGUGUGUAAGUGUGCAUCUGAGUGUGUGGUAAUGCAUACAUCCCAGCAUUUUAAUGCCAACACAAAUACACUCCAU